ACAGCAGUGUGCGGGUGGGUGGCGAAGUGAAUUGCUGCUUCACGUCUUCUUGUCUCGCGCUCGCGCUCGCUCUCUGCGUGUGUCUCUAUGGCUCUCUGCGCGCGUGUGUGCGCGUCUCCUUUAAACAAGCGACUAAUCAACGGGGAAAAAAAGAAAACAGUAUUAACUAUCAAGCGAGGCAUAUCGACAGGAGUCUCCGCCUGCUCCUCCUCUGCCAGAUGUCCCUCACCACCGCCUUUCCCUUCCACGCGUACGUGGGCGACCUGCGCACGCGCACCGUCCACGAGCGCAAGAGCGGCGUCUCCCUCUCCCUCAUGACCUCCGAGGACAUGGCGCGCCUCGCGUUUGUGGAGGUGCGCGUGCGCUGCGGGCAGGAGGAUCGGCUGGCGCCAUGGACACCAGCUUUGCGGCGCGACGGCACGCACGCCACGUUCUACGACACACGCAUGGGCAACUUCGACGCACGCACGUUCCCUCCGCAGGCGUGCUCGACGUGCUGCAGCACGCUCAACUCCAAAUACGGCAACGAGCGCUGCCAGGGCCACUACGGGUAUAUCAGCAUGCCGCGUCGCUACCCGAACGACCCGAACCGGUCACAGGAGCGCCUCAGCGUCAUUAACCCGCACCUUGCCCAGGAGGUGGAGCAGCUGCUUCAAGCCGAGUGCUUCUUCUGCCACCGCUUCCGUGUACCCGAGUUUGACGUGAUGCGCUACCAGCAGGCACUGCGCCUCGUCGAUUGCGGGUUGAUUGGCGAGGCGCUGCGGUUCCUUGACAUGGUGGCGAACGCACAUGGGCAGGACAUGCGCAGUCGACGCCGCCGUGACGCCAACGAGACUGUCAUCAACGACAUCCCUCUUAUGCUGGAUCACGUCGAUAAGCUGCUGCGCCGCCGCGGAGUCGCUGCACCGCCUCUGCCCGAGGUCGCGUCAGGCGAGGCGGGUGCGCACGGCGACGCCCAAGGUGACGCCGGCGCUGCUGGCGCGUUGGCGCACGUGGAUGGCAGCGAUGACGGCUUCCGCAAGCCGGUCCUCGACGUCCGCAAUGAGAUCUGCAAGCAGGCGCUGCGCAGCUUCCGCGAGUUUGGAAACGUGUGCUCGCACUGCCAAGGCAUCUCGCCUCGCAUCACGACGAAGAACGGCCAUCUCUUCUUCUUCUUCAACAAGAAGAACGCCGACUUCAAUGUGGCGAACGGCGGGGUGACGACGUCGCAGCUGCGGGAAUGGGAGGAGAUGAACCGUCGCCAGGGCCGCAGCCACACGUACUUCCGCACGUCGUGGGUGCGAGAGCACAUCAAGCAGCUGUGCCAGCGCGAGUCCGCCAUUCUCGCGGCUCUCUUCCCGCACCUCGGCGAGACCACCCUACACAUGCCGUACGCCUGCUCGCUCCCGUCGAUGUACUACUACAAGGUCUUCUUUGUGGACAAGCUGCUCGUGCCGCCGCUUCCCCUGCGCCUGUCCUCGGGCGUGCAGAUCUCGGAGUCCGGCGGCAUCAUCCCCGAUGCCGGCACACGUGCCCUGUCUGACGUGCUCGAGUUCGUCGAGCAGAUCGAGGCGUACUACGUCCUCGCGAACAACUCGACCCCAGAGCGCAACCUCGUCAGCACCGCGCAGGAGGUUGCGCAGGAGCACAACCUGCGGAACUUGCAGGCCAAGGUGACGGAGGUGUACACGGAUGUGCUGGAGGGCUUUGCGAAGAAAGAGGGCCUGUUCCGCAUGCACAUGAUGGGCAAGCGCGUGAACCAGGCGUGCCGCAGCGUCAUCUCACCCGAUUACUUGGUGGAGCCGAACGAGGUGCUGCUGCCCCGCCCCUUCGCCCGCGCGCUGACAUUCCCGGAGCUGGUGAGCAGCUACUCGCCAGCGCGCAUGGUGUUCCUUAAGCGGUGUGUCAUGAACGGCCCGGAUGUGUACCCGGGCGCCACACACCUAGAAAUUGGCCUGCCGAGCGGCGAGACUCGCUUCGUGGACUUGCACGUGCCGGAGCUGAUUCGGCGGCAGCACGCCAUGAAAUACUUCGCGAUGGCGCAGAACGGCUCCCUCACGGUCCACCGGCACAUCCUCGAUGGCGACCACCUCAUCUUCAAUCGCCAGCCGACCCUGCACAAGGUAUCCAUGAUGGCGUACCGCGCCAAGGUGCUGUCCGGGCUGAAGACACUCCGCUUUCACUACGUCAACGGCAGCUCGUACAACGCCGACUUCGACGGUGAUGAAAUGAACAUUCACGUCGUGCAGAGCCUGGAGGCAAAGGCGGAGCUCGAGUGCCUGAUGGACGCCAACCUCAACUACCUCGUCCCGACGUCCGGCAAGCCGAUUCGCGGCUUCAUUCAGGAUCACGUGGUCGCCGGUGUGCUGCUGACGCUCCGCGACAAUUUCCUGCCGCAUCACACCUUUGUGCAGUUUGUGUACAACGGCAUCGCGCCGUACAUGCAGAAGCAGGGCAAACCGCUCAGCGCGCACGCGACGCUGACGGGGCUGAUUCCGAUGCCCGCGGUGCUAAAGCCACGUCCGCUAUGGACGGGCAAGCAGCUCAUCUCCGUGAUUGUACACUACGUGACCGGCGUGGUGGAGAGUCGUGGCGGUGCGCCCAGGAGUAACGGCGUCAGCAUGCACGGCACCUCCCUCAUCCAGCCAAGCACCUACACCACCACCGACCCCCACACCGGCGAACUAGUCACUGCGUCACGCAAGUGCAUGGAGGACGAUCACGUGCAGUUCUUUGAGAGCGAGCUCAUCACCGGCAUCCUGUGCAAGAACCAGCUCGGCUCCAGCAACCUCUCCGUCGUGCACGUGAUUCACGAAAUCUACGGGCCGCACAUGGUUGGCGAGCUCUUCGGCGCGCUCGGUCGCGUGCUGUCGAUGAGCCUGCAGCGCGAAGGCUUCUCCAUCGGCAUGGAUGACAUGAUGCUCUUGCAGGAGGAGCGGCGUACGGCGCUGCUGCGCGAGCUGGACAGCGCGCCGCUCAGCCUCCCCGACGACGAGGCGAGGGUGAUGCCCGUGAUCAUGGGGAUGGCGACAAGCCUCCAGAAAGAAUUCGUGCCUGGGCGCAUGCUGCGGCCUUUCCCGUACAAUCAGCUGCUCACCAUGACCAUGUCCGGUGCAAAGGGCAGCAACACGAACGCUAUCCAGAUGUCGCUCGGUCUCGGCCAACAGCUCUUCGACGGACGUCGGGUGAAGCGCAUGAACUCGGGCAAGACGCUGCCGCCGUUCUUCGUCGCGGAGAAGCGAGCCCGCUCGCUGGGCUACGCGAUCGGCCGCUUCACCUCCGGUAUUCGACCGGCAGAGUACACCUUUCACGCCAUGGCCGGCCGUGAUGGGCUCAUCGACACGGCCGUCAAGACUUCCCGCUCCGGCCACCUGCAGCGGUGCCUAGUCAAAGGCCUGGAGAGCCUCGUCGUGCAGUGGGACCACUCCGUGCGCGACGCCAACGGCAGCGUCAUCCAGUUCCUCUACGGCGGCGACGGACUCGACCCGAUGCGGACCUCGUCCCUGCAGGCGUGGGAGGUGGUCAAGGACAACUGCAUCGACCUCGGUCGAAAGAUGAACGUGAACACCGGCGUGGUGACGGGCGAGGAAGAGGCCGAGGAGGCGGCGUCGCGCAACAGCCAGGGCAAGCGCGAGCGCGCCCACGAGGCGGCCGCGGCGAUGCGUGCGGCGCAGCGUGCGUUGCUCGAGGCGGAGGCACAGCGCGACCCACUCCCCGCCCACUACAAGGCGAGCCUUGACAUGUACCUGGAGACCAAGGCGCAGUAUCCUCUCUUCAAGAAGGUAUCGCAAGUCGCGCGGUGGACCAAGAACGGCGUCCUUAACGAGAAGCUGCGCGAGAAGCGCGAGGAGAGCAUCCGGUACUACCGCGACGUGAUGACGGAGCUCACGACGCGGCGGCGGGUGCGGGCGUACUGCGACGCUGGAGAGCCAGUUGGUCUCCUGGCGGCGCAGGCCGCCGGUGAGCCGUCAACGCAGAUGACGCUCAACACUUUCCACAGCGCCGGGUCCACCGUCACGCACGUGACGGAGGGAAUCCCGCGCCUACGUGAGCUGCUCAUCUACGCCUCUGUGCAAAAGGUGGCCAUUGUGGUGCCGGUGGAGAAGGCGACGGAGGUGGACGAGGAGGCGAUCUCGCGCAUUCUGCAGGCCGGCGUAGCGACGCGGUUGACGGACUGCAUGGCCCGCGUACCUGCUGCUGUCACAGCGAGUGCGGACGACGGUGCAGCGGCGAGGCCGCAGACGACGCCGGGGUACCACUAUCGUGUCACCCGCAGCGCCGAGGGCACACAGGUGACGGUGGCACUUCUCUUCUCCAAGGCGCUGCUUAUGCAAAAGCAGCACGCCAUGUGCAUGUCGAGAGCCGAGCACCUUCAGUCCUUUACGCAGACUCUGAAGAACUUUGCACGGCAGGUGGUGACGGCGCUGCGGGGUCGCUCGAAGGACGAGCGCGAAGGCGCCGGCGGGCCGCUGCGUGGGACAACGCAAGACCCGUCUUCGCAGAUGGACGACGGGGGCGCCGCGGCCGGCGGCGGCAUGAGUGACAACGAGGACGACAUGGACGAGCGUUCCACGCAGAUGAACACACCGGCGCUCGGGGCCACCUCGGUGCCGUCCGUCGCCGGCAGCGAGCUCGGACGUGACGACAUGAUCCCGGAAAGGGACGACAACGGCGGCAGCAGCGGCAGUGACGAGGACGAUUACGACGAGGAGGCGGUGGACGCGGCGGACGGCUCGCGGCGGCGCAAGGGCGGCAACGGCAGCAGUCCCCCGCGCAAGAAGUCUCGAGCAGAGGAAGGCGACAACGAGGAGGAUGAUGAGGACGUCAACGGAUUGUUCUGGAAGAGCUCCAGCAACGGCGGCACCAGCAGCGAGGCGGCUGCCGCGGCGUCUGGCAAGGUGAGCUACGAUUGCUUUCCUACGGUGUGCGUCAUGUACGGCAGCAAGAAGUAUCGGGUGGAAAUCGCGCCGCUGCUGCGGGAGGCGGCCACCCGCGACGGGGUCGUGCCGCUACCGGAGGAUCUCUUUGUGGUGAACGUGUCGAUACAGACAUCGGACCAGGUGGUCACCGUCAUCCCGGAUGUGCUCGAGAGUGCCCUGGCGCAGCAGACGUUCCCGUCGUGGCUCACGCAGUUCGACUCCGUCACGUACACUCGCAAGGCUGAGGACCCGACGAGUGGCGAGAUGGUGUUCCAGGGCAGCUCGGCGACGAUCCGCAGUGUGACGGCGUUCCUCGCCCUCUUCACCGUCCGCGCACGCGCCAUCAAGGUGCAGAAGGCGCGGUCCACCGACAUCCGCGACAUGUGCACCUCCUUCGGCGUGGAAAGCGGCUACAAGGCACUCUUCGAUGAGCUGGAGAAGCUUUUCAAGCGCUACUCCGUCGACUACCACCACCUCACCCUCAUCGCCGACGCAGCGACCCACCGUGGCGUGUGGGAGAACUACAACUUUACCGGCGUCAUCUCCCACAGCGCCAGCCCGCUCUUCCAGAUGACGUUCGCAUCGUCAAAGCGCUUCCUGCACACGGCCCUCACGCGCGGCGUCGGCGACGAGCUGAACUCCAUCAGCUCGGCCAUCAUGGUCGGUGAGCGGCCUCGCGUCGGAACGGCGCUAGUCAAGGUGGGCCAGGACCCGCAGAUCUUGCGCGAUGUCAUCGAGAAGAACUUUGCCUGAAAAAAAAAAAAAAGACAGCGCUUGCGCGUGUGCAGGUCGCACUCCGCGCCCCCUCCCCCAUAGCCCCCCAACGUCUUGGUUUUUGCUGUUGCCUUGACUGUUUCAUGGACGAGUUUGUGACUUGGCUCUGUCAUAGAUGCGAAGGCGUAUCCGUGUCUGUUUCAAGCGGCGCGCACCAGUGGUGAUCGUUGUGGAUGAUAAUGGAGUGCGAUGCGUUGAUGAGUGAACGCACCGCCAUCACCGCUGUUGUUGUUGCUGCCGUGUGCUUGAGCGUGUAUCGUCUCAUCUUCCUCGUCUUUCGUGGAGGUCCAUAAACCUUGGCACCAAUGGAUGAGGGCUCCCUCCGCCGCCGCCGCCGCCCCUCCCCCUCCCUUCCCUUCCCAGUGGACGUGAUGAGCGAGGGGGUAAGCCAAUGUGGCGGCGUACAUGAACAAGGGUCUCUCUGUCUCCCUCUCGUACUUGAAAAGUCAACCCCACCUGAGACACGCAGACACCCUGCAGAGCUCGGGCGUAUGCAGAGCUGUGUGUCGGCCUCUCCGCCAGUGUGCGUACAUGCCUGUAGAGAGUGCAGAUGGGGAAGGGGCGGGAGGAGGGAGGGUGCUGGUGUUGUCUCGUAGUGUGUUAUCCCUCCCUCUCUUUUUAACGCGGUGCGUGCUAAUAUUCGAAUUAACAUGUUCUCCUCUGCGGUGUUCCUUGUCCGCACCACACACACACACACACAC
rnacentral:misc_RNA from 1 species